UCCUAUAGACACUUGGUAACCAAUCAGGCUACCUGAAUGCACAGCUGGCCAUAUAUGGAGCAAAGUAACUGCUGUAAGGCGAACGUAGCAGCAGCCCGGAGAGGCUCUGUCAGCUAUACGCAUGCAUCCUGUACCUUGAUGUAUAAAUAUCUCUAUACCACAUCCUCCCAAGGUAGUUGGAGCUGGGUGUAACAUGCUGAUGCUCUUGCGUGUAUGACCUGUCUCUGUAUCGAUACAAUAAACAACUCUUAAGAAUACCUGGUUCUGUCUCACUUGGAGAUAAGUCCGGUUGGACAACCUAACCCAUCAUCCACAUCAAUUGGCGAGCCAGGCAGGAGCAGAAAGUCUGACUGGUCGCGUGAGGCCAGCUCGGCCCGCUGCGGCCCAGUGGGCGCCCAGUAGAUAUUUCUACAAGUCACAGCCGUCGGCGGGACGUGUCUUCCUCCACUUCCACCAAAGGACGAGGCUCCUGACAGUUACAGAAACAAUUUCAGGUAUUGCGGACGUAUGCCCAAGAUGCUCAAUCCCUGCCACUAGAUGUCGCUGCGCACCUACUGAAACCCAGAGAUGCUGUGUGGAUCCGCAAGAUACCUGCUCGCCCAGGCGAACCGAAGUUGGAGGGCCCGUGCCCUAUCCUCCUUACUACACACUCAGCUGUUCGAGUGAAAGGAGUCAACACCUGGAUCCACUAUACUCAUUGCAGCAAACAGCCACCAGUAGAAGGCCUCACAGCGAAGGUGAGCCUCCGAGGGAGCACCGCCAGCCUCCCUACGGACCCACAGGACGAAAAGAGGCCAGAAACAGACGAAGCAAGAUACUCUUGCCACCACGACCCUGACAAACCCCUCACCCUCAUCCUUCGCAGAACCACCUCCCUGUGACAAAUGGACCACACGUGGGAGUAGUUCCUCAUUAGCCUGUCAUGGAAUUACAUGACAGUCCAGUGUGACAUUGCGUGCUGCCCUCCAGACAUAUCAAAGUGUGGCCCUUCUAACUAUACCACUCCAGGGUACUGGUCACGAACCGUAGUUGGGCCAGUCCCAAAGGGGGGACACAAUGAUUGUCGUGGCCAACAAGAAUUGCAAAGACACCAAAGAGAAGGCUGCCUCAAGGUAGCACACAUCACGGCCCAUACUUGCACCGAAAAUGAUUCACAUGUAUAGAUACAAGAGCAAUAUGAGCACGCUUAGCCAAUACAGUAUUGGAACAUUUAUAUGAGUACAAGCCUAGAGUGGGCCACAGCAAUGGUCAUACGCUGUUCCGCCACAAUGCAGCACAAGGUCGUUAUCCCUUCAAACUUAUAUGGUCCACCUUCAAGAAAGUUGGACAAUUUUAUGUAGUGAGACUGCGGGUUACCGGUAACGCCCAGCUCUGAAUCCCAAAUCAGCAACUGCGACCUAUAACAAAGCCGAACAGAAGUAGAAAGCUCAGUUGUCAAAAAAAAAUACAGCUUUGCAGCGCCCUUCUGGUGCCCAAAAUUAAAAUGUAUGCACAAACAUGACCAUGAGGCCAGCAGAUCUUGACUUACACAAGUAUCAAUAUCUCUGCCUCAUUCAGUUUAAAGUUUCCCCCAACCUUACUGAAAGAACGAGCUAGAAAAAGCAAGGGAAAUCCAUCUCCUGGAUGCAGAAGCCGGGGACAAAAAGAUUGGUUCUCAUUCGAGCCUCUGGCUCCUGAGAACGCGAUCAUGUCCACCGUAGAGGUUAUCCAGUCUACCUUGCAUUUAAAACAAACAAACAAACUGUUUUGUGUGUCUUAAUGCUGGAGCUGGGCGACCUGGGUCUCCAGUGCCAUGGAGAAUCCAGCCACUCCAAUUAUAGAAAAAUCCUGAGAAAAAAUAGCUCAAGACAUCAGGGAUGUCACAUACCUCCUGUCCAGACCUGGAAAACCUGGGAUGUCUAGAGUUAGCUCACCAGUUGGCUGCCAGAUUGGCCCUGGUUGGAGCAGAUAGUAGUCAUCAGGUUAGCAGUCCUUUUGAUCAUCCUCUGCCUCCCGUGAGUAGGUAGAUACAGCUGUUUAAGUUGAUGGUGGACCUGCACCCGCUGGGUUAGGUCCAAAGGGGGGACUGAUGUGGGGGUCUGUAUCAUCUGAAGGCCCUGAUCAUGUCCUAUAGACACUUGGUAACCAAUCAGGCUACCUGAAUGCACAGCUGGCCAUAUAUGGAGCAAAGUAACUGCUGUAAGGCGAACGUAGCAGCAGCCCGGAGAGGCUCUGUCAGCUAUACGCAUGCAUCCUGUACCUUGAUGUAUAAAUAUCUCUAUACCACAUCCUCCCAAGGUAGUUGGAGCUGGGUGUAACAUGCUGAUGCUCUUGCGUGUAUGACCUGUCUCUGUAUCGAUACAAUAAACAACUCUUAAGAA